GUGGGGGAUAUUGCACAAUGGGGGAAACCCUGAUGCAGCGACGCCGCGUGAAGGAAGACGUACUUCGGUAUGUAAACUUCUAUCAGCAGGGAAGAAGAUGACGGUACCUGACUAAGAAGCCCCGGCUAACUACGUGCCAGCAGCCGCGGUAAUACGUAGGGGGCAAUCGUUAUCCGGAUUUACUGGGUGUAAAGGGAGCGUAGACGGUGAAGCAAGGCUGAUGUGAAAACCAGUGGCGCAACUCCGGGAUUGCAUUGGAAACUGUUUUACUUGAGUGCUGGAGGGGCAAGCGGAAUUCCUGGUGUAGCGGUGAAAUGCGUAGAUAUCAGGAAGAACACCGGUGGCGAAGGCGGCUUGCUGGACAGUAACUGACGUUGAGGCUCGAAAGCGUGGGGAGCAAACAGGAUUAGAUACCCCGGUAGUCC
rnacentral:rRNA from 1 species